GAACCAAAGACAAUAUCCGAAGUGUCUUACCUGGACUAAGGGGGGGAAAGAACUGGACAGGAGGAAGAGCAGAGAAGCACAGAAUCUAUGUUGGUCAAAGUCCACAGGAAACACAGCCAUCUACCUGGAAAUGUUGGAGCAUUUCAUGCUUCCUUCUGCUGAUAAGCUUUAAUGAGAUGCUGAUUUGACUUUCCAGUAGGACUUGACAACUGCCUACACUGCCAAAGGAGGAAGCUGAGAGACCCCAG